rnacentral:lncRNA from 1 species
ACCAGAGAAACAAUUUGGCAGUACCGUGAUUUAUGUAAAAAGUUAUUGAAAGUACAACUAAAUUUAAAUUUAAAAGAACACAUCAUCACCACGUUUAAUAUUUUUCUGUAGCCUAGUUUUGAAAACCAUUAGUAGUAAUAAACUUUCCUCCCAUAAAAGUUCUGCCAUUUUAAUUUCCAAUUAGAACUUGCAAAAGAUAUAUACGUGGCAGUAAAAGUAAAGUCUCAGACCAUGCUGCAGCCUGACACAAUGAUGCCCCAAUGCUCAUAAAUCAGUUUCUGUUUGUUGUGAACCUCUUAAAUCCACACUGGUAAGAGGUGUAGAGGUAUUUGUCUCCCAUGAAAACAUUCUCCCACACCCUUUGUAAUUAAAAGUAAUCUUAAAUUUCAUCUAGUUCCAUGAGAAAGAGCUUUCAUACAGUAAUUUGAGUUGGACUCCAGAACGAUGGAAUGUAUCUGCUCCAUCCUCUCGUUCUUAUCCUGAAUUAUGCUGGGAUCGCCAUCAUGGGCCACGAGAAGCCUUCUGCCGUUUCCAGACAGCGGGACAGUUCUGCAUCCCUGUGCCAGGAGCUGAAGUGGAUGGCACUUUGGGUGAAACCAGGACUUCUCCACCACAUACCUGUGCCCCCGGAGACGGUCGGGUCCCCUGAAAGCUCCAUUGUUCUUCCUGCCCUAUUGCACGCACGGUGAUUAUAUAGCCUUGGAUAAGCAGUAAUACGUUGCUUGCUGAAAUAAUAACCUAUCCUCAGUUUAAACAGUGCUAUAUUUAAGAUUUAUAUAUAUUUAAAUGUCGGUAGUAUGUGACAUAUUAUCAUUUGGAUGACAGUUUGUAAAUAAGAUAUUGGAAAGAAAAGCAUCAGCUGCAUUUAGGGAGGUAAAUCUUGGGGUCAGGCAGGACGGCCGGAUCCAUGUGGAUUUUAAAGAAGCCUCAGAACCUCUUGGGGUUGGGGAUGGGCAAGGACCCUGCCUGGGUCCGAGAUCCAGGAAACCCCGAUUACUGCUUCCAUGUCUGAAGGUCAAUCUUUUUUUGUAGCCCUUUUAACUUGUCUUUAUUCCCUAACAUGAAAAAAAGGGCUAACAGCAUUUUCCUACCACAGUGGGAUGUUGGCCGACCGUUGUAAAUAGCUCUAAACCAAGACACAGGUGUAAAAGCUCUGCAGGUCAGCGUGGCCAUCACGGGUCAGCGUUAGUCCCACCCAAAGUGGGUCUCAGCACUCAAAUCUGCUUUUACUCCCCAGUUUGGUUUCUACGCAGGGAGGGAGCUGAUGAGAGGAG